AAUCAACGCUGGCGGCGUGCCUCAGACAUGCAAGUCGAACGCGAAAGUUCCCUUCGGGGAGCAAGUAGAGUGGCGCACGGGUGAGUAACACGUAGGUAAUUUGCCUUCGGGUGGGGAAUAACAGUCGGAAACGACUGCUAAUACCGCAUAAUGCAGCGGCUCGACAUCGGGGACAGUUGUUAAAGCGGGGGAUCCUUCGGGACCUCGCGCCUGAAGAGAAGCCUGCGGCAGANAGCUAGUUGGUGAGGUAAUGGCCCACCAAGGCUACGAUCUGUAACCGGCCUGAGAGGGCGGGUCGGUCACACUGACACUGACAUACGGGUCAGACUCC
rnacentral:rRNA from 1 species